rnacentral:sRNA from 1 species
AAUCGAAGAAGAAGAAGAAGAAGACGUAACAAUGGAGCCU